GCUGUGCUUUUCCAGCACCACACUUUUUGACUGUGAUCUCCAACAUCGACAGUCCUCACUUUCUCCAUCUAGAUUCAUGCCCAACAACAACGGCAGGAAAAUGCGAGUCUGCUAAUUCCUGGUGACUUUGAAGACUUUGUCAGUUCCAGCAGAAAUCACAAAGGAUGAAAACUAAAGCCACCUUCUCCUAGAAUGUCACAUCCCUGCAUUGUGUGGACCUUACAGUCAACAAGCAAAUUACAAACAGGUGGAGGAAAUGGUGGACAUUUCAGCCUGACCUUAAAUUCACCUGGACCAUCUCUGACACCUCUCUUCCUUUCCUGGACCUUUUCAUCUCCAUCAACGGUCACUGACUCAACAUCAACAUUUUCUGCAAACCCACUGAUUCACACAGGUGAUGCUGUGCCAGAAGAUGCCUGAUAGUGCCUCAUCUGCAGCAGCCUCGUUCACUCUAUCAUGGAGACUUAUCUCAUCCAGCAACAGCCUGGGGACUUGGCUAACAAAAAAACCGUGGCUGAAACAAGGGGCACAUGUGAAUAGGAUAUGGUAAAAGCAAGAGAAGGAUCCAGGCUUCCCAUAUCGCAAGAUGGAGAAAUGUCUGCCCUUCGCUGAGGAGUCUUAUCCCAGAGAUAAUCAGUUUCAUGUGCAGAACACAACCAUGCAGGUGGAGUUCAUUGAUAAGAGGCACUACCUAUCUCUGUAAUCUUCAAUUCUCUUUGUAAGGCAUCCACCCAGAAGACCGAAUAAAAGGUCCCAUAUAUUUUAAAGUGGGAUCAAACACUAGAAAGAUUAA